rnacentral:rRNA from 1 species
UACCAGCACCCCGAGUGGUCGGGACGUUUAUUGGGCCUAAAGCAUCCGUAGCCGGUUCUACAAGUCUUCCGUUAAAUCCACCUGCUCAACAGAUGGGCUGCGGAAGAUACUAUGGAGCUAGGAGGCGGGAGAGGCAAGCGGUACUCGAUGGGGUAGGGGUAAAAUCCGUUGAUCCAUUGAAGACCACCAGUGGCGAAGGCGGCUUGCCAGAACGCGCUCGACGGUGAGGGAUGAAAGCUGGGGGGAGCAAACCGG